CCUACGGGUGGCAGCAGUGAGGAAUAUUGGUCAAUGGACGAGAGUCUGAACCAGCCAAGUAGCGUGAAGGAUGACAGCCCUAUGGGUUGUAAACUUCUUUUAUAUGGGAAUAAAAUGUCCCACGUGUGGGAUUUUGUAUGUACCAUAUGAAUAAGCAUCGGCUAACUCCGUGCCAGCAGCCGCGGUAAUACGGAGGAUCCGAGCGUUAUCCGGAUUUAUUGGGUUUAAAGGGAGCGUAGGCGGUUUGUUAAGUCAGUGGUGAAAUUCUGGGGCUCAACCGUAACAGUGCAGUUGAAACUGGGAGUCUUGAGUACGGGAGGGGUAGGCGGAAUUCGUGGUGUAGCGGUGAAAUGCUUAGAUAUCACGAAGAACUCCGAUUGCGAAGGCAGCUCACUGGACUGAAACUGACACUGAGGCUCGAAAGUGUGGGUAUCAAACAGGAUUAGAUACCCUGGUAGUC
rnacentral:rRNA from 1 species